ensembl:lncRNA
GGACCUCAAAAGGAAAAAAAAAGGCCUGAACGCAGCGACUCUGCGGAUUCCCGUGCGCUCCGGGCACAGAUCUUGGAAGCUGCAAAAGUCACCAGAAAGAAGCCGGAAAGCAAACAAAAGUUGCCCCCACAAACAAGAGGAAGGUCCUCUCGGGGCUCUCCCGGAGUCCCCCGGGACAGCGACGCGCCGGCGGCGGCUAAAGAGCCGGGCGGAGCUUGUUUAUCCAUUCUGCUGAAGAUGGACAUUAAAGUUGUUUCCAGUUUGGAGCUACUGUGAAGAAAACUGCUAUGACAUUACUGUGCACAUCUUUGUAUGUACACAUGUUUUCAUUUCUCUUGAGUAAAAGACUAAAGUGGAGUUUAUG